GCAGCGCCAAAGCCUGGGCUGCCAUCUUGCCCCCCGACGCAGGGGCUGGCCCAGCGGCCCAGUUCCCGGGGCGCUUUCCUGAACCUCGCGAGAUCUGAUCACAGCCUCCUUGUCCCUGAGAUGGCUAUGGGGCUGCCAAGCCUCGCGAGAAGCCUCCGUUAGGGCCGUGUCAACUGUAGCCAGUGGUUGCGGCUCCCUCAGUCUGGCGUCAUCUAGGUCGCUGCUCAGGGAAAUGCGGAGGCCAGUAGGCUUACGUGUUUACCGCGUAGGGCAAAGCCUUGCCAAAUUCCCGGCCAGCGGAGCGGCGAGGGUGGGGACUCACGGGAAGUUAAACAGCCUCGUCGGCGUCCUCGAGGCUCCAAAACCAGGCUCUAGGCGGGGACGACUGCAGCCGUUAUGGAGGCCACCGCGGCUACGGCCGCGGCUGAGGCCUCCCCAGGUGGAGCGGUGGCCUGGAGGGGAAUCUUGAUCCUGGGCCAGCCACCUGUCAAGAGGAGGCGGAGCGUCAUGCCUCUGGAAGACUGGAUGAAUAUUCUCCAGGAGCCUGACGAAGGCGAAGAAGUCUUUGCAGAGGAAAUUGAAUGCUGUCUGAUGCUACAAUUCAUAUGGAUCCUUUCCUGGAUUGAAGCCUGACUUUUAAAAAAGGUUUCAAUAAAUUGCUUAUACCUAUGAAGAGAUGCAAAAGAACCUUCAAAAUAAAGCAAAGGACUUGAAGAAAGAGAAGGAAGACAUGAAGAAGAGGAUGUCAUUUAGGUGAAGGGCCAUGCUGGAUAAGGAGCUGGCUGCCUCUGUGAACAUCCUACUCAAGGCAUCUUCACUGCUGUACAUCCUUUUGAAAUCCCAGAGAUCUUCAGUCUCCCUGUGGAUUAAGGAGAUGUGCAGUAUUUAAAGUGGCUUCAGGAAGGCAUGGAAGAGGACUGAGUGGGGAAAGCUUUUUGUGCAUGCUGCUGGCUACCUCCAGCGGCUGCCUCCAGCCUCCAUCAGCUGCACUCUGGGGAAGAGGAGGCUGCCUUCUACCUCCCAGCAUCUCUGGAUUUCAUGUUCCUGUCAGCACAGAGGAGCUAAAUGGCCUGUAGAGGCUGAAGGUCUGAGGCUCCUAAAGCUGGAAGAAAAGGCUGGGCCAGUCAGGCCAAGCAAGAACACAGUGUAACUUGUCUCUGAGUGCUUCAUGGUUAAGGGGGCUAAGCAGGCACAAGGGCAUGAGGAUGGUUAUAUGUACAGACUGAGGGGAAGAAGCAGUGAAGAUGAGACUUGCCAUCUUCUUGAGUCAGUAGGCCUGCCUCAGGUGCCUAGGAUGUAAUUGCUCUGCUGCUUCUCAUGGGGAGGAGUGGCCCUCAUGACCUUGUUUACCUGGAAGAGUGUGGGAUGAAUGCCUCCUCCUAUGGGGACUCGCAAGUGCUUUAGCAAAAGGAUAAAUUGCUAAUUGUGGCAUUUCGUGGAUCAGCAGGAUUAUUUCUCCUUGCUAAAGAGGAUUUUGUUGGUCCUGAAUUCUGAGGAGGUGGGACUAGGAAUGGGCUCCAUGAGCCUGUGUAUGACUCAGGGAAUAUUAGGACUUUGGCACAGCCUCAUGGGUUGGGAGUAAGUCUUGGCUCUUCCCUAGCCUGAAUGACAGACAUCAGAUCAUUCUGGUGCUUUGUCCAUGAAGAUGUAGAUUCUGAGCCCACCCAACUAAUCUUUUCACUUGAGCACAGAAACAGCCCCGGGAAUCGGACAGACCCGUGUCUUUCAGGUUUGCUUCACAGAGCCCCAGGGGUUGACAAUAGGUGCCUUGGAGACUGCCUGCAUGGGGAUUUUUAAAAAGCUUUCUUUGUUAAAGGUUUGUAAACCACUCCUCUGAGCCUGUUUUCAUUUUAUAGAUUAUUCAGGGAACUGAACUGCACAGAGAUCCAGAAAGUGGGUAGUGCAGGCUGUAGUGCUGAUAACUACUGUACUACUUGGAUCUUUGUGCUCCCAAAUACCAAAUGGAAGAGGAUCUCUGAGAGUCCUUUGCAAAGAUCUUGUAGGGACUUUAGGCUGGGGCCUUCGGAAAAUUCCAGAGGAUUCCAAUGGAGAUUUUGAGGGACUGACUCAGAAGAACAAAGAGAAUGAUAAUGGUGAUGUCCCUGCUUUUUACAACAGAUCAUGUUCUGAUAUAUAUGCAAAUCUGUGUAAAGUAAACCCUACCUAAAAUGUACUGGGGACCCAAGAUGGACUGCCUGUAUUGCUUCCAGGAUAAAGUCCAAUUUCUAGCUCUGGUUUUUAUAACCUUGCUUCAGCUCACCUUUUCCGUCAUCAUCCCCUCCAUCUCCUCUCCCACGCUGGGAAAUGGAUGGCUGCACUAUACUGUGUGAUGUUAUUGCUAUGUUCAUGCCAUCCCCUCUGCCUGGAAUGCCCUUCUGCAUGAAUGCCUGUGAAAUGUUGUUGCUCCUUUGUAUGGCCUGGCUUCCGUGGUUGGCAGGAAUCUCUUCUUUCGUGGUAUUCCUGUCAUCUUUGUGCAUCACAGUCAGCUUUGUAUUCCUAGCUUGUAAGCUACUUGAGGAUAGGGGCAUGUCUGAAUCUAUUUAAUCUCUUGCACCUGUUUGGCAAAUUGAUGUUUUAAGUAUUUAAAUAACUAAAGCUCUCUCUACAGUACAUACUCACUUUUGAUUUAUGAAUUGGCAAAAUUCAACUUUUUUCCUUGAAUAUUCUUAAAGUGAGAUGAAUUCCAAAGGAGAGUGUUCUGUGUGUGGCCUUCAUUGAGUGGUUUUCUGUUACCAGAAAGCUCUUGGUGGCCUUCCUCUUCCCUGGUGUCAAGGUUGACUGUUAUAGGAAAUGGGAGGGGAGAGGGCCGUUUCUGCCACGCAUUGUCCUAGGUUCUUAACAUUAUUUAAUCCUUAUAAUGCAAUGUUAUCCUCAUUUUACAGAUGAAACCUGAGACCAAAGAACAUGUAACACAUAAAGUACAUUGCAGAGUUAGGAUGUGAACCCAACUCUGAUUCUAAACCUAAUGCUCUCACUCUUUCAUUCAGAGGUUCAGUCAGUUCUUUGUAGGCUGUAGAUCCAGAGAAGCUGCCGUAGCCAACAAUGAAGUUGUUAGUUUUUAAAACAUCUAUGUGGUAAGUUGGUCUGGCACUUAAAAAUGUAUUGUUUCCCAGGCACGGUGGUUCACACCUGUAAUCCCAGCAUUUUGGGAGGCCGAGGCAGGCGGAUCAUUAGGUCAAAAGAUUGAGACCAUCCUGACCAACAUGGUGAAACCCCGUCUCUACUAAAAGUACAAAAAUUAGCUGGGUGUGGUGGCGCAUGCCUCUAGUCCCAGCUACCUGGGAGGCUGAGGCAGGAGAAUUGCUUGAACCCAGGAGGCAGAGGUUGCAGUGAGCCAAGAUCAUGCUACUGCACUACAGCCUGGCAACAAAGCGAGACUCUGUCUAAAAUAUAUAUAUAUAUAUAUAUUGUUUACUACUCACCACAGAUCUGCAGGAGUUCACUGAUCUCUAGGAUCUGCCUUAACUCCAACUUACAUGUUUUGGUCACUAUUACAAACUGUCAUCCCAGAAUGAUGCUGCAGAGGCUAGGGCUAGGACACAGACCAGUGUUUCCAUGUGGGAAUUCCCUCCCAGUAUUUCUUAGGAAAUGUAUGUUUUUUGAAUCCAUAAUCCCUAGAAAAAUCAGUUGAGGAAAUGAGAAGUAUUGUAAUUAUUCUGUGAAUAGUAACACUUACCAUUAUGGAGACAUCACUAGUUUGAAAGAAUCCAACUUCAUCAAAUAUUAACGUACCGAGUUGAAGGCUACAAGAACUGAGACAGGAGCAUAGCAGAGAGAAACGGUCACCAUCUCAUUAGCCCUAUUUUUGGUUGUUGUGAUGCCAUUACAUCUGUAUAUCUGGCCAUAUCAGCUGCUAAUGGUGAGUUCUUGCAAACAAAAUGAUUUGAUAAACAACCUACCAUACUUUAUACAAAUCUUAUGGUGUUCCGAGAAAUAAACUUUGGAAGCAAAAUAAGUUAACAGUCUGGACACGAUUGAUUCUAUAUUCUGUUUACCUUGCUCUAGGCUAUUCAAAUGUUAUAUUUAUUUGAACACUAUCCAAUAUAUGUUCCCUGGCAUCUUCCUGUCUUUUAAAUAUUCUCUGUACGCUACAGUUCUUUGUAAGUAAAAAUAAGCUUAAUAUGUCUACUUAGCAAACAAAGUUUUUCCAGAUACCUAUAAUAAUGAGGAAAACAGUAUAAAGAAUGAAGUAUUUGAAGAAUAACUUAUAAUUUGGGGGAUUUCUGAGAAUUCUACUUCUUUGUCCCUAAUUUCCGAAGGUAAAUGUUUGUUGUGAAUUUGGAAACACUAGACUACAGAAAAGCAGGCACUCUCUAGCCUGGGAGGCCCACUGAUCUUAGGAGGGUCCAUAUAGCUGCUUAUUGCAGACCUUGCACUAGAACCCAGGUCUUUUGACACCUGGUGCCACUUUUCAUUCCAUUCCAUUAAUUAUAGCCCAGAGAAUAACCACCACCACCCCCAAGUCCCAUUGUGGUUUUAUUCUGAGGACAGAUAAAAGGUUGAAGCUGAUGGAGUGGUAGAAAGAAGUGGGAGCCAUAGUGAAUGAAGACGUUUAAGGGCAGAUAUUAACACCACUGAGUCCUUCAUUCGGGAUUACAGGUUACACUUUACCCCUCAAACUGUAGAAUUCAGUGGAAUCCAUGGCCUUUACCUCUCUAUAGAUGACCUUUUUCCUACCCCUUUACAUCUCCUGUUUUUUUCCUCUCCAAACUGCCCUAAAUUUAGAGGUUUAUUUUGAAGUAAUAAUCAGUCACACACAGCAAAGUCUCUCCCAACACAUGGGGAGCAGAUGUGCUGGGAUUAUCACUGCCAUUUGAAGGGUGAUAAAACUGAAGGAAAGGAAUCUGACUAAAGUGGCACAGGUUAGAACUAGCAGAGUCAGGUCUAGAACUCAUUUCAUAUUUCUAGAAUUGUGUGAUGAUGUACUGAUAAAGUUUUACGAUGCCCGGAUCUAAGUAUUAUAAUAGUGUCAAUUUCUAAGUUCAUUUUCCAUCUUUUACCUCUCAGUGGCACUCAACUAAUGUUUUUUGCCCCCAAAGGUCGGGUACUCACAAAAGAUUCCAUAUUCUCUCUGGCAGUAAGGGUGAGAAUGUUGCUGGCAGUGGUAGGAGUGGCAAGGUGGCCAGAGGACAGGGUCCUGCCAUUCCUCCUCAGCCUCCAGUAAACCAAGUGCAAAAGCCAGAGCCAAUUCCUUCUGCCACCCAGCAGCUAAUUCACUAUAGGGAAGACAAGUGAUUGUUCAAAGGGAGGUUUUAAAUCAUAAAUCAGACACAUUAAUUAUAACUUUAACAAAUGUUAUUAAAAGCAGCAAUUAAAAACCAUGAAUCUUUUUGAAGGUGCAGAGGGUUAUAAGGUCAGUUGGCAGUAAUGCAGCUAUUAUCUGGUAUGAAUGAAAUGCUGGGGUGGGGAGUCAGGGUGACCUCAUUAGGCCUUGUGCUAUCUUCCCAGGUAGGGAAGGUCCAGAUGUACUAUAACAGGAUUGCUCAUCCCAGGCUAUCUCAGAAGUCUGGAAAGCAG
rnacentral:lncRNA from 10 species